UACAGAGGGGGCAAGCGUUGUUCGGAAUUACUGGGCGUAAAGGGCGCGUAGGCGGCCCGCUAAGUCGAACGUGAAAUCCCCGGGCUCAACCCGGGAACUGCGUCCGAUACUGGCGGGCUUGAAUCCGGGAGAGGGAUGUGGAAUUCCAGGUGUAGCGGUGAAAUGCGUAGAUAUCUGGAGGAACACCGGUGGCGAAGGCGGCUACCUGGACCAGCACUGACACUGAGGCACGAAAGCGUGGGGAGCAAACAGG
rnacentral:rRNA from 1 species